UACGGAGGAUCCGAGCGUUAUCCGGAUUUAUUGGGUUUAAAGGGUGCGUAGGCGGCCUUGUAAGUCAGCGGUGAAAUUUUGCAGCUUAACUGUAACAGUGCCGUUGAUACUGGGGAGCUAGGAUUUGGUUGCUGUGGGUGGAAUGUGUGGUGUAGCGGUGAAAUGCUUAGAGAUCACACAGAAUAUCGAUUGCGAAGGCAGCUCACAAAGCCAAGAUUGACGCUGAGGCACGAAAGUGUGGGGAUCAAACAGGAUUAGA
rnacentral:rRNA from 1 species